AUGGGCUGCGCAGGAUCCACCCCCAAGGGCGCUGCGGCCGCCGGAGGCGAAGCUACGAAGAAAGUCAGGAAGCCUAAGCCCUGGAAGCACCCCCAGCCGAUCACAAUUGCCCAGCUCAGGCAGAUGCGUGAUGAGUUUUGGGACACAGCUCCUCACUAUGGUGGUCGGAAAGAAAUUUGGGAUGCCCUUCGUGCUGCGUCAGAGGCUGAUGUAGCCCUUGCACAGGCAAUUGUGGAAAGUGCGGGCGUAAUUGUUUCAAAUGCUGACCUGACUCUAUGCUAUGAUGAAAGAGGUGCUAAAUAUGAACUGCCGAAGUAUGUUUUGAGUGAGCCAACCAACCUGGUCCAAGACAGUUGA
rnacentral:rRNA from 1 species